rnacentral:lncRNA from 10 species
CUUCUCUCCAGUUUGCUCCUAACUGCCUGCACUUUCACCUCGCUUCUGGGCACUGCUCCCGGGCUCUGGCGGUGCUUUGGCCCCAUGUCCAGGGAGCCUGACCCGCCUGGUGGCUGUGAUUCCCUGGGACAGCCCCUGGGUGACCACUGUGAGUCUGAGCUCUUGCCUUGGGGCAGGACGAACUGGGUGCUCCUCAGACCCAGAUCCGGCUGAGGCUGGGAUAUUGGCUCGAGUGACACCUGGGCUUGGCUUCCUUCCCUGCCCUGUCCUGUCUCCCCUGUGCAGCCUCCCCUGAAGCGCGGGUCUACAAACCUCAUCCCAGGACCCGUUUCUAGGAGACAGUGAGGCUAAGACCCAGUGCCUGCCCGAUGCAUUAACAGAUGGAAUCCUCCUGAGGACCCUAGGAAGCAGGGAGAAACUCUCCACGGGUGCUGAGAUGUCUUUGACACCUCGCUGAGUAAGGUUGGCAGAGCUUCCUUCACAACAGCCGGAAACGGUUUCCAUUGAAAACCUUCCUCAGGCAGCAGGACAGAAAGCAGACUUGGGUGACACCUUUUGUUUCUCUGUGUUCACUUUCACCAUCACCUACUCUUCCGUGGCCAGUGAUGUUCCAGCAGGUGGCUGGGUCCUGCUGUGAGGACAACAUGGAGCAGAGCCCAGGCUUACCUACAAUGGACAUGCAGUGUGAGUGACAAGAAACCUCUGUGUGCUGAGCUGUUGAAAUCGCCAGGUUGUUUGUUACCACAGUAUAACCUGGCCUAUCCUGACCAUUGCAGGCUCCCUUGCCUACACUUGGUAAGGGAUUGCCUCCAAGAACCACAUCAGCGUGGACCAUGAGCGUAGGCAGAUGAGGUGCAUGCGAACUGCUUAGCCAGCAGCUGCCACAGUGGAAGGUCUAUGUCAUUGCUGCUGCUGCAUGCUCGUUGUGGCUGUGAUUGUCAUCAGCAAAGACCAGCAACAACAAAAGGCCACAGAAGCCCUUACCAUACAUUCUAGAAGGCUUAAGUCUACUCUGGUCAUUUCAACCUUGGGCAGAGAAGGUGGCCUCUUGGAACCUCUCUGAGAUUUCAUUCUCUCACCAGGUGGGUGAGAGGACAGCAAAGAGCCAUGUUACGAAAUUCAAUGAAAGGCUCAUUUCCUACCCCUGGGGAAAGCAGCAAAGCCAGGCUGACACCAAGGAGUUCUAAACAGAGGAGGGCCUGACUUGCUGGCCGGGUGGGCAGAGGAAGACAGGGAGCCCAGUGAUAACGCCUGGCUGGAGGUGGAGCCACGGUUGCCAGGGUACUUGUGCUGUGUAAGGAAUCCCUCAAAACAUUAGGGCGCCCAGCAGCCAUCGUAUUACGCUCACAGAUCCUAUGGCUCAGAAUCACACAAGGCACAGCACAGAUGUCUUGUCUCUAUUCCAGGAUGCCAGGGCCUUCUGGAAGUGCCUGUUUGGCAGUUGGAGCUGGCUGGGGGCUGGGACGUAUCUGGACUGUCUGCCACAACACCAACCCACAGCCCCCUUUCGGGCUACUUGGACUUCCUCACAACAUGGCGGCCCUGGGCAGUCAGAUGCUUACACAGCAUCUCAGGGCUAUAGCACGAAGGCACCUGCAUCACCUUCUGUGACCUAGCCUUGGAGGCCACGCAGCGUCUCUUCUGCCACAUUCUAUUAGUUGUGAGUGAGUCAUGAACGUGCUCAGAUUCAGGAGGGAGAGAACAUAAACCCCACUCUCCAGCAGUGGGAGGUAAAGGUCAUAUGGGAAGAAUAUCUUGUGGGAUGGGAGAAAUUGCAGAGGCUGUCUCUGGAAAAUGCCAUCUGUUACAAGGGACUUAGACCACCCCCGUCCCACCUCUCCUCCAGGCCUGGGUCCUUCCCAUGGCCACCUGCUGACCACUGGGGACUUCUGUGUCAUCCCUCCAGCUCUGAAGAUUCCUCUCAGUGAACUUCUUAGCUAAGCCUGCCAGCCCACAGCCUUCUCUCGUGUCCUGCCUGGCGAGGGGUCUGGCUGGUGUUGAAGGCAGCCCCAGGGCCUCACCUCACACUGCACAAUGACCCACGGUGCCCUGGACAAGAGGCUGCCCUUGGCAUUCCAGGCAAAAAGUCGCUUCCCUGAAAUGUUCUCCAGUGGGAAGCUAAGAGCGUGCCUGCCUCCCAUCCUGACCUCCUGCCCCUUCAGAAGCGUCCCUGCAGCUCCUGCCUGCACCUGGCAGGGAGCACCGCUACAGAGUUUGCUGCUGUACCGGCUCAGAAACGGGAGUUCCCGGCACAGGGCCAUCGGCGAGCCUCCCAGCUGGAGUGUGGGCAGAGGCAGACACUGGGGCUGCAGGGGAGUGGCCCCCAGGGUGUGAAUAGGAGGGCAUCCUGCAGGCUCCAGACAUUGCCAUGCGUGUUGCUGUGAUUAACCCCCAAACCCAGCUCCAUCAUUCAUUCACUCCUUCAUUUGUUCAUCCUAUUGUCCCAGGAGCUGGGCUAUAACAGAAAGGAGACAGGCCACAGACAGACAGGCAAGGCCAUCCCAGGCAGUGAGAGGCGACGUGAACUCUGUGAACUGAGAUGAUGAGGAAGAGAGGAGAAGGGCGGGGCCGCUUUAGAAAGGCUGCUGGGGAUGUCCUGUUUGAGGAGGUGACCCUGUCACUGGAGCCAAGCCAAGAGCUGGGGAAGAGCAUGUCAGGCCCCAAGAACUGCAGGUGCAAAGGCCCUGAGGCAGGACCCUAGCAGGACCCUAGCAGGUGCAGGUGCAGGUGCAAAGGUCCUAAGGCAGGACCUGAGCAGGUGCAGGUGCAAAGGCCCUGAGGCAGGACCUGAGCAGAUGCAGGUGCAAAGGCCCUGAGGCGGGACCUGAGCAGGUACGGGUGCAAAGGCCCUGAGGCAGGACCCGAGCAGGCAUGUCUGAGGGUCAUAGGAAGCCUGUGUGCCUGGAGCAGAGGGUACAAGCCCAACGUGGAGCUUGUGCAUGGCUCUCCACUGCCUCCCAACUCAGUCCAGGGGCUUCUGCUCGGCUUUCAAUGCCCUCCACUGUGGGGGCCCUGCCACACCUCCCCAUUCUCUGGGGGCCCCAGGAUUUCCCACAUCCUUGUUUUUUCCCAUAUUGCAUUAGGAUUUGACUUUAUUAUUUAAACAAGAAGCAGAGGCCCCCACUCCUUAGGGCGGAAACGUUGCUCAGAAUCACAUCCUGGAGGAUGGAGUGAAAGGGAUGUUGGUCUUAGAAGCCCUAAGAGAAGACGGCACAGAGUGGCUGGACUGGGGGUGGGGGUGGAAGAGACUGAGGAAGGCCAGGUGGACAAGGCGGGGUGGGGCCCACAGUCCUCAUUGCCACAGGGCUUUGCCAUCUUGCCAAGGAGCCAACUUGCCCUGAUUCCACGGAGCAGGCCACUGGGACUUCCCACUUCUGUGGGGGCGCUGCGACUGCCUCCAAGAUCCUCCCCAAAUCUCUCUGGGCCUCAGUGAGGUGCCUGGGGAAUGGAUUUAAGAUUGGUGGCCCAGUUUCCGGACAGCUGGGAGAUGAGCUCAGCCUUACUAAUGUGAUCGAAGUUGCCAACCCCUGCCCCGCACAUCCUCAGGGGACCCUAGGCUGCUGGCCACCAGCAAGGUUGUCUUGUCUGUUUGAUCUUCGAUUCCUGAGGGUAGUGGGCACCUCGGUAGGUGAUCCUGCCCAAAUCCCGCCUCCGCUUGUCCUCUUGGCAGGGCGGCCUCCCUCCCGCAUACCACAGCCUUCCUGCAAUGCUGCGACUCGGGUUCAUUCCAGGGGAUCCUUGAGCGCUGGCGGCACAGAGGGGCCAACCUUGAACUCAGCAAAGAGGAAUGCUUGACUCCUCUCCAGCUGGAAGGCUGUACCUGGGCUAAGAACUGAUGAGCCUGCUUGAAGGAAACACUCCGUGCUUUUGUUAAAGGGGAAGGGAAAAUAAAAUCCCAAAUCAACCUUGGAUCAAUGUCUCUUCCCCAGACGGCAGCCCAAGGCCUCUGCGGCCUCUGCAUCAGUCAGCUGGGAAAGCGGCACAGCCCCUGGGACUGUGGCUGGGCCAGCCAGCCUCCACCCAGACAGAGCCCGCAGCAGGCCGUUGAUUCACCGUUCCCCAGCAAAAGCGUCAUCCUGAGUCCCAUGGAAGAGACUGGUUAAUCUCUUACUGUGUAAUUAAUCUCUUACUGUGUACCAGGCACAUGCAUACAUCCCAUAACGCAUUCAGCCUCACACCAUCUACUUUACAAAGCACAUAGCACUACUGUCUUCAUCUGGCAGUUAGCAAACCUGUGGCCCAGAGGGGUGGACCAAUUUACUCAUAGCCACAUAGCUGUCAGGAGCUGAGAUACAAGCCCAGGCGUGGUGGAUCCAAAGCCUCUUGUCCUGGCUGGGCAUAAUGGCUCACACCUGUAAUCUCAGCACUUUGAGAGCCUGAGGCAGGAGGAUUGCUUAAGGCCUGGAAUGUAAUAUCAGCCUGGGCAACAUAGCAAGACCCUGUCUUUAUAGAAAAAAUUUUAAAAAUUGGCCAGGCAUGGUGGUGUGCCUGUGGGCCUGGCUACUUGAGAGGCCGAGGCGGGAGGACUGCUGGAGUCCAGGAGUCUGAGGCUGCAGGGAGCUGUGACUGCGCCAGUGCACUCCAGCCAGGGUGAAAGAGUGAUGCCCUAUCUCAAGAAAAAAAAAAAAAGCUCUUGUCCCAAACCCUAUAUCACCAGGUCCGUAGAAGCAGGAGUGUAUUGAAUCCAUUAGGGAGGCACUUGGCUACAAGUAACAAAAACCUUGGCUCACAGUGGCUUAAAGCAUAAGGUCAUUCAUUGUUUAUUUCGGAGGACAUUGAGAAGCAGGCAUAGCCCAGGUGGGUUCACUAGUUCCUCAGUGUCAGGAUACAGGGCUGGCAUCUCUGCAAUUCUCUUAGCCUUCUCCUCAUGGUGGCACCAUGGCUGCCACAGCUGCAGACAUCACUUCAUCCCACAAUGACAUCCAAAGGCAGGAAGGAAGGUGAGGUGGGAAGGAGGCAAAAGGGACCAAACCUCUCUUCCUGUAACCUUCUCAUUUUCUAGUGAGACCUUUUUCCCAGGAGCCGCCAGCAUACUUCCCUCACGUUUCUGGCCAGAAGUGGAUCACAGGCCUUCCCCGGAUUACUCAGGCCCAGAGGGUGCAAUGUGGUCCCCACUACAUGGUAGACAGGAUUUGAACUAAACAACAGUUCGCUGGAGUGGAAAAUAAAGGAUGCUACAUUUUCUUAUUGUGAUAAAAAAUAUAUAUCAUAAAAUUUACCAUUUUAACAAUUUGUAAGUAUACAGGUUGGUAGCAUUAAGGACAGUCACAUUGUUGUGCAACCACUACCAUCCAUUUCCAGAAUUUUUUCAUCUUCCCAAACUGAAACUCUGUCUCCAUUAAACACCAACUCUCCACCUGGCUCCUGCCAGCCCCUGGCUCCCACCAUUCUACUUUCUGUAUCUGUGGAUUUGACUAUUCUAAGGUUGGACUAGUCCAACCUGUACAUAAAUUGAAUCAUACAGUAUUUGUCCCUUUGUGGCUGGCUUAUUUCACUCAGCACAGUGUCCUCAAGGCUCAUCCAUGUUGUGGCCCGUGUCAGAAUAUCCUUCCUUUUUCAAGGCU